rnacentral:rRNA from 1 species
AGGGAGGAUACCUUGACACCAAGAGCCGAUGAAGGACGUGAUAAGCUGCGAAAAGCUAUGGGGAGAAGCAAAUAUUCAUAGAUCCAUAGAUAUCCGAAUGAGGAAACUCAACUAGAGGAAAUAAUCUAGUUAUCCAUACGUAAGUAAAGUAGCGUAUGAGAAGGGAACGCAGGGAACUGAAACAUCUUAGUACCUGCAGGAAAAGAAAGAAAACUCGAUUCCUGAAGUAGUGGCGAGCGAAACAGGAAGAGCCUAAACCAGGAGAAGUAAUUCACCUGGGGUGACGGACUACAUAAGUGACUCAAGAAUCUAGUAGAAAUGUUUUGGAAAAGCAUACCAUAGAAGGUGAAAGUCCGGUAUAUGAAAGAGGAAAGAGCAUGGUAGGAUCCAGAGUAAUGCGAGGCACGUGGAAUCUCGUAUGAAGAAGUGGGGACCACCCCAUAAGGCUAAAUACUACUUGGUGAUCGAUAGUGGAAUAGUACCGUGAGGGAAAGGUGAAAAGAACCCCGGGAGGGGAGUGAAAGAGAACUUGAAACCCUAUGUUUACAAGCAGAUAGAGCGAUUUAAGGCGCGAUAUCGUACUUUUUGUAGAACGGUCCAGCGAGUUAUUGUAUAUGGCAAGGUUAAGUACUAAGUAAGGUACGGAGCCGAAGUGAAAGCGAGCCUGAAUAGGGCGAAUUAAGUCAUAUGUAAUAGACCCGAAACCGGGUGACCUAUCCAUGGUCAGGAUGAAGCUAGAGUAAAAUCUAGUGGAGGUCCGAACUCAUAAGCGUUAAAAAGCUUCGGGAUGAACUGUGGAUAGCGGAGAAAUUCCAAUCGAACUCGGAGAUAGCUGGUUCUCCUCGAAAUAGCUUUAGGGCUAGCCUUGUGUAGUAGUAUAUGGGGGUAGAGCACUGACUGAGGUAGGGGCCUAACCAGGUUACCAAACUCUAUCAAACUCCGAAUACCGUAUAUGUAAGCACAGGAGUCAGACUGCGGGAGCUAAGUUCCGUGGUCAAAAGGGAAAGAGCCCAGAUCGUCAAUUAAGGUCCCAAAGAUAUAGCUAAGUGGCAAACGAUGUGAUUUUGCGUAAACAACCAGGAUGUUGGCUUAGAAGCAGCCAUACAUUUAAAGAGUGCGUAAUAGCUCACUGGUCGAGUGAAGUUGCGCGGAAAAUUACCGGGGCUAAGCUAUACACCGAAAUUGCGGAUUUACACUUGAAAGACAGUGUAAGUGGUAGAGGAGCAUUCUGUAGUAGGGAGAAGCAAAAGCGAGAGCAUUUGUGGACGAGGCAGAAGAGAGAAUGCUGGAAUAAGUAGCGAGAGCAAGGUGAGAAUCCUUGCCGUCGAAAGUCUAAGGUUUCCUGGGGAAGGUUCGUCCGCCCAGGGUAAGUCGGGACCUAAGGUGAGGCUGAAAAGCGUAGCCGAUGGAUAGCAGGUUGAGAUUCCUGCACUAUAGAUAUACUUAAAAGAUGCAAGGGACGCAGGAGUGGAAGAUAAGCGAGGAAGAGGAAAGACUCGUAUCGCAAGAUAUAGUGAAAAUAAAGUAACGAAUUAUCAAGAAGCACACUGACGAGAAAAGCUUGUAGAUAUUGUAUAUAAAUACCCGUACCGCAAACCGACACAGGUAGAUGAGGAGAGGAUCCUAAGACGAGCGGGAGAAGCAUUGUUAAGGAACUCGGCAAAUUAACCCCGUAACUUCGGGAGAAGGGGUGCCAAGGUAACACUUGGCCGCAGUGAAGAGGUUCAAGCAACUGUUUAACAAAAACACAGGUUUCUGCUAAAUCGAAAGAUGAAGUAUAGGAGCUGACGCCUGCCCAGUGCUGGAAGGUCAAAGGGAAGUGUUAGUAUUAACUACGAAGCACAGAACUCAAGCCCCAGUGAACGGCGGCCGUAACAAUAACGGUCCUAAGGUAGCGAAAUUCCUUGUCAGGUAAGUUCUGACCCGC